GCAGCCGCCGCGGGAAUACGAGGGGGGCAAGCGUUGUUCGGAAUUAUUGGGCGUAAAGGGAGCGUAGGCGGUUUUGUAAGUCGUGUGUGAAAUCUUCAGGCUCAACCUGAAGUCUGCACACGAAACUGCAGGGCUUGAGUAUGGGAGAGGUGAGUGGAAUUCCUGGUGUAGCGGUGAAAUGCGUAGAUAUCAGGAGGAACACCUGUGGCGAAAGCGGCUCACUGGACCAUUACUGACGCUGAGGCUCGAAAGCGUGGGGAGCGAACAGGAUUAGAUACCCCUGUAGUCCCUGUCUCUUAUAC
rnacentral:rRNA from 1 species